GUGCAGCUCAGUGGUAGAGCACUAGCCUAAUAUGCUCAAGGUCCUAGGUUCUAGUCCCAGUACUGUACA
rnacentral:tRNA from 1 species